UCGAGAAUCUUCGGCAAUGGGCGAAAGCCUGACCGAGCAAUGCCGCGUGCGGGAUGAAGGCCCUCGGGUUGUAAACCGCGAAAGUGAGGAGGAAGGGCCCGUGCAGAGCGGGUCUUGACCGAUCCACAGUAAGGACGGGCUAAGUUCGUGCCAGCAGCCGCGGUAACACGAACCGUCCAAACGUUAUUCGGAAUCAUUGGGCUUAAAGGGUGCGUAGGCGGCGCGUUAAGUCGGGUGUGAAAUCCUUCGGCUCAACCGAAGAAUUGCGCCCGAUACUGGCGUGCUAGAGGGAGACAGGGGUGAGCGGAACUGAUGGUGGAGCGGUGAAAUGCGUUGAUAUCAUCAGGAACACCGGUGGCGAAAGCGGCUCACUGGGUCUCUUCUGACGCUGAGGCACGAAAGCCAGGGUAGCGAACGGGAUUAGAUACCCCCGUAGUCC
rnacentral:rRNA from 1 species